rnacentral:rRNA from 1 species
UACGUAGGGGGCAAGCGUUAUCCGGAUUUACUGGGUGUAAAGGGAGCGUAGACGGCAUGGCAAGUCUGGUGUGAAAGGCAGGGGCUCAACCCCUGGACUGCAUUGGAAACUGUCAGGCUGGAGUGCAGGAGAGGUAAGUGGAAUUCCUAGUGUAGCGGUGAAAUGCGUAGAUAUUAGGAGGAACACCAGUGGCGAAGGCGACUUACUGGACUGUAACUGACGUUGAGGCUCGAAAGCGUGGGGAGCAAAC